rfam:Bacillus sp. SJS contig_07, whole genome shotgun sequence.
UCCAUGGCGACGUGGAAUCUGGAGGAAGCCGAAGACAAACCCUCGGUCCGAGGUACACGAAUCACAUUCGAGGUUGGACACUCUAGGACGAGCUUGCAACACAAAGUAAAGUCCAAAAUAUC